CCGACCAUAGCUCAGUUGGAAGAGCACAAGACUGUAAUUGGUUAACUCAUCUUGGGGUCGCCUGUUCGAACCAGGCUGGUCGGA
rnacentral:tRNA from 1 species